rnacentral:miRNA from 1 species
CCUCAUUGUACAUGCUGUGUG